rnacentral:rRNA from 1 species
GCUGGCGGCAGGCCUAACACAUGCAAGUCGAGCGGUAGAGAGAAGCUUGCUUCUCUUGAGAGCGGCGGACGGGUGAGUAAAGCCUAGGAAUCUGCCUGGUAGUGGGGGAUAACGUUCGGAAACGGACGCUAAUACCGCAUACGUCCUACGGGAGAAAGCAGGGGACCUUCGGGCCUUGCGCUAUCAGAUGAGCCUAGGUCGGAUUAGCUAGUUGGUGAGGUAAUGGCUCACCAAGGCGACGAUCCGUAACUGGUCUGAGAGGAUGAUCAGUCACACUGGAACUGAGACACGGUCCAGACUCCUACGGGAGGCAGCAGUGGGGAAUAUUGGACAAUGGGCGAAAGCCUGAUCCAGCCAUGCCGCGUGUGUGAAGAAGGUCUUCGGAUUGUAAAGCACUUUAAGUUGGGAGGAAGGGCAUUAACCUAAUACGUUAGUGUUUUGACGUUACCGACAGAAUAAGCACCGGCUAACUCUGUGCCAGCAGCCGCGGUAAUACAGAGGGUGCAAGCGUUAAUCGGAAUUACUGGGCGUAAAGCGCGCGUAGGUGGUUUGUUAAGUUGGAUGUGAAAUCCCCGGGCUCAACCUGGGAACUGCAUUCAAAACUGACUGACUAGAGUAUGGUAGAGGGUGGUGGAAUUUCCUGUGUAGCGGUGAAAUGCGUAGAUAUAGGAAGGGAACACCAGUGGCGAAGGCGACCACCUGGACUAAUACUGACACUGAGGUGCGAAAGCGUGGGGAGCAAACAGGAUUAGAUACCCUGGUAGUCCACGCCGUANCGAUGUCAACUAGCCGUUGGGAGCUUGAGCUCUAGUGGCGCAGCUACG